CAAGGUUAAAAACAUGUUUUUUGGAGAACUUUAAUUUUCAGCUAGGUGUUUGCAGCUGUGCUAUUUGGAGUCUCAUCUGAGAUUUUAAAACCAGUCAAUUAGCAAUCCCAAAAAAAGAGAUGAGGAUUGGCAUAUUGCUUAUGAUAUCUUAUCUUGUUAACACUACAGCUAGCAGUGGGCCAGAGCUCUUGGUUUUGCAAUACCCCGAAGAUGCCAGUGUGCUCCUUAACUCCACUGUGUGGAUGCUAUGUGUCUUUGAAUACCCCAAGGAGGAGAAUGAGGAGCCAGUUGUGUACUGGAGGAAGGGCCCCAGCUGUGACAACCAGCAGAGUCUUCGGUCAAGUUCAGGAGCAGGAAGGCCACAUGUACACAUUACCAAGGACAUAUUCAGGGGAUUCUCUAUCUUAAAACUGAGCAAUGUUGACAAGAAUGACAGCAACUCAUAUUUCUGUGACGUGAUACUAACCCAGAAAACCCAUGGCAAAUGUGGAAACGGAACCAAGCUGACAGUGCACGGUAAGAGAUUUCACGUGCAAAAACUGUGUAAGAUCAGAACCCACCUGGUGGUGUUGGUUCCUUCUUCUCGGAUACACUCUCUUUGUCACCACAGUUAUCAUAGCUUUUGGUUCUGCUUCCUCAAAUUGGUGGCUGAGGAUGAUCAAGUGGCUCGGAGUCAACCAGGAUGACUGGCCACAGCUGACCAAAGGGGAUAUUACGCCACAUAACAUUGUGUUCAUCAAGAGAAUCAGGGGUAGAGGAAGAACAAAGGGUUUUUGUUGGCUAAAAAGAUGACCGUUGCUCUCUGACUGGCUUUGCAUUGGUCAGCUGGAGGGAGGUGAUUCAUCACUGCUGUAAAAAGUGGAAGAAUGAUUCAAGAAAUACAGAUAGCAGCACUACCCUGCCAAGUGAAUGGAUUUAUGAGAAGCCACCCAAACCCGUUAAUAAUGGGUCUAACCAAGAAUAUGAAGAUAUGUCACUAAUAAGAACUUUCAGUCACAUUGAAAGGAAAGUGAUAUGAAAAACAAGCUCACAGUUGUAACUGUAAUGCUAUGAGAACGUGAAUGAUGUGUACUACUUCAGGAUACAGAAGAAACAUACACACAAGUCAUUUUGUGAACUUGGAAUCUUCUUUGUUCAAGAUGUUUUCAUCUAUUCAUGUAUUUACUUCAAAACUAACGAAAUCAAUUCUCUAUGCAGCUACAAAUGCAAUGAUAUUUAGAGUGCACAGCUACCACAAAAAAAGUGAUAGAGCUAUUAAUAUAUUAAUAUUUCAAUGCAAGAAAGCUGAUCAUGUAUGCUGAUAUAUUUCUUUUUCCAUUUCAAACUCAAGGACAUGUAGAAUUUUGUUUUUAUCUGAGUUAAGACAGCUUCUUUGCUUCAUCAAAGCAACAGCAAAUUCUGUACUACAGUACCUGUCUGUUGCUGAGAUAAAUUUAAAAGAAAGAUUUUGUCAUAGAGGAGUUUCUCCUGAUGUACUGCCUGACCUUACUUCCAGCUCCUUAUCCUGCCCUCAUAUUUAUACAUCCCUGCAACUACUUCUACUUUUGGCUGUGUAGCCAGCUAUGCUACUGAUAUAGUGCACAUUUGUACAUGCCUCUCUCAAAAGAAUGAAAAUACUGAAUAUGUUUUUAAUAGUUACAAUUUCUGAAGAAAACAUAAUAAUUACUGAUGAAGAGCUUGACUUUGUUGUUCUCCUGGCAUAUCUAACACAGUGUAAGCUAUUUGGAUUAAAAAUAUCUUUAAAAGUUGUUUUAAAGUACUUAGGAUGCUUUUAGAGUCCAUGUAGCAACAAUAGAAUUAAACUUCAUAGAAAGAGCUUACCAUAAUUUGCAUAAUAAUUAAGUGCUCAGAGAAAGUUGUGCCUUGGAAUAGUUAUGUACAUGUGACUUGAGAGAAGUUAACACUUUAACAAACUCUAUUUGAGUUAUUGAAUUUUUCUUUUUUCCACAAAUGAUUAAAUAUUACAAGCUGAGUACUGUGUAUCAAGAUUUGGUUUUUUUAACACUGAAAAUAUAAUUAUGAAAGGAAAAUGUUCAUAGGCUAAAAUGCCAGAGAUUACAGCCUUAUACACUAUGAAUAUAAAACAAAGAGUAAGCUCUUUUUUACUCAAGGGGGCAAUAAGUCAUAGUUAAUAUUCAAGACUGUACGUUAUGAUGUGGAUGCACACUGCUAGUGAAGUUCAGCUUUAUCAGUAGAGCUUUAUCAGUAAAGCAUUAUCAGUACUGCAUUCUUCUAAAAUAUUUGCCUGUUCUGCAAGUAAAAAUACUAAUUAAAACAGUUUUAAAAACUGAUAUUUGACUCGUUUUCUUGAAAGUACUUCUGAUUCACUUAGAGACAGUUAAGUAUUACUUCCAGGACAGACAAACAAUGCUUGUGCAUUUGGAGAGGUUGAGAGCAGUCAUGAAGUCAUGAAAAAAUAAAACAAUUUUCUUAAAUUUGAUAGCAGGAACUAAAUAAUGGUCUCCCUCACUCUCCUCUACUCAAACUGGGUUCUGAGUGCAUCUUCAGUCAUAGAUAUUCAGGUUUCCAGAUUCGGAAAUUUAAACUCUAAUUUGGGAUGAAAAUAUGUAAAUUUCCAGAGAAACUAGCUUCUCAGAUGCACCUCAGACUUCCUAUUUUAAAAAUCUUUAAAAAAAAAAAAAAAUUGUUGAUUAUAAAA